GACGAACGCUGGCGGCGUGCUUAACACAUGCAAGUCGAACGGUAAGGCCCUUCGGGGUACACGAGUGGCGAACGGGUGAGUAACACGUGGGUGAUCUGCCCUGCACUUCGGGAUAAGCCUGGGAAACUGGGUCUAAUACCGGAUAGGACCACUGCCUGCAUGGGGGGUGGUGGAAAGCUUUUGCGGUGUGGGAUGGGCCCGCGGCCUAUCAGCCUGUUGGUGGGGUGGUGGCCUAGCAAGGCGACGGCGGGUAGCCGGCCUGAGAGGGUGACCGGCCACACUGGGACUGAGAUACGGCCCAGACUCCUACGGGAGGCAGAGGUGGGGAAUAUUGCACAAGGGGCGCAAGCCUGAUGCAGCGACGCCGCGUGAGGGAUGACGGCCUUCGGGUUGUAAACCUCUUUCAGCACCGACGAAGCGCAAGUGACGGUAGGUGCAGAAGAAGGACCGGCCAACUACGUGCCAGCAGCCGCGGUAA
rnacentral:rRNA from 1 species